rnacentral:rRNA from 1 species
UUUAUGGAGAGUUUGAUCCUGGCUCAGGAUGAACGCUGGCGGCGUGCCUAAUACAUGCAAGUCGAGCGAACGGACGAGAAGCUUGCUUCUCUGAUGUUAGCGGCGGACGGGUGAGUAACACGUGGAUAACCUACCUAUAAGACUGGGAUAACUUCGGGAAACCGGAGCUAAUACCGGAUAAUAUUUUGAACCGCAUGGUUCAAAAGUGAAAGACGGUCUUGCUGUCACUUAUAGAUGGAUCCGCGCUGCAUUAGCUAGUUGGUAAGGUAACGGCUUACCAAGGCAACGAUGCAUAGCCGACCUGAGAGGGUGAUCGGCCACACUGGAACUGAGACACGGUCCAGACUCCUACGGGAGGCAGCAGUAGGGAAUCUUCCGCAAUGGGCGAAAGCCUGACGGAGCAACGCCGCGUGAGUGAUGAAGGUCUUCGGAUCGUAAAACUCUGUUAUUAGGGAAGAACAUAUGUGUAAGUAACUGUGCACAUCUUGACGGUACCUAAUCAGAAAGCCACGGCUAACUACGUGCCAGCAGCCGCGGUAAUACGUAGGUGGCAAGCGUUAUCCGGAAUUAUUGGGCGUAAAGCGCGCGUAGGCGGUUUUUUAAGUCUGAUGUGAAAGCCCACGGCUCAACCGUGGAGGGUCAUUGGAAACUGGAAAACUUGAGUGCAGAAGAGGAAAGUGGAAUUCCAUGUGUAGCGGUGAAAUGCGCAGAGAUAUGGAGGAACACCGGUGGCGAAGGCGACUUUCUGGUCUGUAACUGACGCUGAUGUGCGAAAGCGUGGGGAUCAAACAGGAUUAGAUACCCUGGUAGUCCACGCCGUAAACGAUGAGUGCUAAGUGUUAGGGGGUUUCCGCCCCUUAGUGCUGCAGCUAACGCAUUAAGCACUCCGCCUGGGGAGUACGACCGCAAGGUUGAAACUCAAAGGAAUUGACGGGGACCCGCACAAGCGGUGGAGCAUGUGGUUUAAUUCGAAGCAACGCGAAGAACCUUACCAAAUCUUGACAUCCUUUGACAACUCUAGAGAUAGAGCCUUCCCCUUCGGGGGACAAAGUGACAGGUGGUGCAUGGUUGUCGUCAGCUCGUGUCGUGAGAUGUUGGGUUAAGUCCCGCAACGAGCGCAACCCUUAAGCUUAGUUGCCAUCAUUAAGUUGGGCACUCUAAGUUGACUGCCGGUGACAAACCGGAGGAAGGUGGGGAUGACGUCAAAUCAUCAUGCCCCUUAUGAUUUGGGCUACACACGUGCUACAAUGGACAAUACAAAGGGCAGCGAAACCGCGAGGUCAAGCAAAUCCCAUAAAGUUGUUCUCAGUUCGGAUUGUAGUCUGCAACUCGACUACAUGAAGCUGGAAUCGCUAGUAAUCGUAGAUCAGCAUGCUACGGUGAAUACGUUCCCGGGUCUUGUACACACCGCCCGUCACACCACGAGAGUUUGUAACACCCGAAGCCGGUGGAGUAACCUUUUAGGAGCUAGCCGUCGAAGGUGGGACAAAUGAUUGGGGUGAAGUCGUAACAAGGUAGCCGUAUCGGAAGGUGCGGCUGGAUCACCUCCUUUCU